GAGGCGAGCGGCGGCGCGCGGGCGGUUGGUCCAGCCCUCUGGUCUCGCGGCGACCAGGCCUUACUCGGUGCCCUGGGAGACUGACCAGCGGAGGCAUGGCUGGAACCCCCGCGCCGGGCAGCAGGAGGCGGAGCGGGCUUCCGGCGCCUAGCUCUGGCCCGCCGCCCAGCACCGGGCACCCUCCGAGCAAGCGAGCCCGAGGCUUCCCCGCAGCCGCUGCCCCGGACCCCGAAGACCCGUUCGGCGCGCACGGGGAUUUCACCGCUGACGACCUGGAGGAACUCGACACCCUCGCGUCGCAGGCCCUGAGCCAGUGCCCGGCCGCUCCUCGGGACGUGUCCAAUGUUCAUAAGGUCCCCAGAUUAGAUGGGAUGUCAAAAACUCCUGCAGGGAAAAACAGAGAAUAUGUUCCUGUUAAAGAGAAUUUUGAAUUAGAGGUACUUCAGGCACAAUACAAAGAACUUAAAGAAAAGAUGAAAGCAAUGGAAGAAGAAGUUCUCAUUAAAAAUGGAGAAAUAAAAAUUUUGCGGGACUCAUUGCAUCAGACAGAAUCCAUUCUAGAGGAACAGAGAAGAUCACAUUUCCUCCUUGAACAAGAGAAAACUCAAGUGCUCAGUGACAAAGAAAAGGAAUUUUCAAAAAAGCUCCAAUCAUUGCAGUCCGAACUCCAAUUUAAAGAUGCUGAGAUGAAUGAAUUAAGGACAAAGCUUCAAAGCAGUGAACGAGCAAAUAAAUUGGCUGCUCCCUCCAUUCUCCAUGCCAGUCCUAGGAAAAGCCCUUCUGUGGCUAUAAAGCCAGAAGCAUGUUCUCCACAAUUCGGAAAACCAUCUUUCCCUACAAAGGAGUCUUUUAGUGCUAACAUGUCCCUUCCCCACCCCUUCCAGACAGAGCCAGGAUAUAAGUCCCUGGUGGGCAGAGAGGUUGUAGAGAAUAAGAGCCACAAUCUGGGAGGUGACCCCAUUAAGCAAGAAGAGUCGCAGAAAAGACUUGUUGACAGCUGGAUGCAGAGAUCAAACACUCAAGGUUCCAUUUUGAUAAACCUUCUCCUGAAGCAGCCUUUGAUCCCAGGGUCAUCCCUAGGUCUGUGCCACCUCCUGAGCAGUUGUUCUGAGGCUCCUACCAGCACCCUACUGCAGCCACUGGGGUAUGGCAGUACCUUGACUGGGAUUUCAAGCCUGAGGACCACAGGUUCUCGCGAUGGGUCAUUUCCCCACUUGGCCCUGAGAGAAGCACAGAACCUGGCACUUACUGGAUUGAAUCUGGUUGCCAGGGAUGAAGGCUCAUGUGAUGGAGACCAAGCAGAGGGAGGCAGAAGGGCCUUCCCACUCUGCCAGCUUCCUGGGGCCGUGCAUCUCCUCCCCCUGGUACAGUUCUUUAUCGGCUUACACUGCCAGGCUCUGCACGAUCUGGCAGCAGUCAAGAGAAGUGGAGCGCCUGCGGACUCACCGACAAGUUCCUCCUACGUGAGCUCUGGGGGAGAGGCCAGCCUUGAGGACUCACUUUGCAACCUGGAAGGCUUCUCUGUGGCUUCACUUAGUGUUCUUCAGCACCUGGUGUGCCACAGCGGAGCGGUCGUCCACCUAUUACUAUCAGAUGCAGGGGUGGAUUCUGCCGCUGGGGAAGGAAACCAGAGUCUGGUUCACAGACAAGAUCAUGGGGAUGUGUCCUCAGUCCCAAGGGGGCUUACUGAUGACCAAGGCCAGCACCCACUACUGAAGAUGCUUCUUCACCUGUUGACUUUCUCUUCUGCAGCAACAGGUCACCUUCAAACCAGUGUCCUGAGCCAGUGUCUUAAGAUUUUGGUGAAAUUAGCUGAAAAUGCUUCCUUUGAUUUCCUGCCCAGGUUCCAGUGUGUGUUCCGGGUACUGCCGCAGUGCCUCAGCCCCGAGAGCCCCCUGCCCAGCGUGCUACUGACUGUUGAGCUCCUUUCCCUCCUGGUGGACCACGAGAAGCUCGCGCCUCAGCUCUGCUCCCCCUCAGAAGGCUGCCUCCUCCUGCUGCUGUACAUGUACAUCACGUCAAGGCCUGAUAAAGUGGCCUCGGAGACACAGUGGCUUCAACUAGAGCAAGAGGCCGUGUGGCUCCUGGCUAAGCUUGGUGUGCAGAGCCCUGCCUCCCCAGUCACUGGCUCUGUCUGCCAGUGCAACGUGGAGGUGGUCAGAGCACUCACAGUGAUGCUGCACAGACAGUGGCUGACAGUGCGGAGGGCGGGGGAGCCCCCGAGGACUGAGCAGCAGAAGCGGACUGUGCGGUGUCUGCGGGACACGGUGUUGCUGCUGCACAGCCUCUCCCAGAAGGACAAGCUCUUCACUGUGCACUGUGUGGAGGUCCUACAUCAGUAUGACCAGGUGAUGCCAGGGGUCAGCAUGCUGAUUCGAGGGCUUCCUGAUGUGACAGACUGUGAAGGUAAGCCGGCAGGAGGACCCCUGCCUGCCCCAGCCCACAUGCGGAGGUUUCCCUGAAGUUCACGGACAAGUCAGACUUCCUGGCCUUAAGUCAGCAGUCCUCUCUCCACGCAGCCUUUGCUGGCACUGGGGUCGCACUUGUCUUACUGCUCUGGGUCUUCUCUGAGCUUAUCAGGCUGCCUUUUGCUUGUAUCUGUUGAGUUGGCCUAGCAGAGCCACAGUUUUUCCAGAAACAUCGCUGUCUGAAUUGCCUUUGUAUCACUUUGCUUGCAGUAGCUGAGGGAGCAAGGCCUGGGCGUGGAAGGGACUGAGGCAGCCCUGGAUGACCUGUGUGCCACUGAAACGGAUGCGGACGACCCUGAGAUGGACUGUAGCUGAGGCCAGUGAGCAUGGAGCCACAUAGUGGCACCAGAACCACUACUUUCCUCACCGCAGCAACUGAUUAAAAGCAGUGACAGGCUGUUUGAGAACA